GGCGGGUAUUGCCUGUUGGUACAGGACCGGGCCUCACAUGCUCGGAGUCGUGGAGCGUAACCUCCUGGCUGCGGUUCGACUCCGCUGCCCGCCG
rnacentral:tRNA from 1 species